rnacentral:rRNA from 1 species
UUGUGAGGUUAAGCGACUAAGCGUACACGGUGGAUGCCCUGGCAGUCAGAGGCGAUGAAGGACGUGCUAAUCUGCGAUAAGCGUCGGUGAGGUGAUAUGAACCGUUAUAACCGGCGAUUUCCGAAUGGGGAAACCCAGUGUGUUUCGACACACUAUCAUUAACUGAAUCCAUAGGUUAAUGAGGCGAACCGGGGGAACUGAAACAUCUAAGUACCCCGAGGAAAAGAAAUCAACCGAGAUUCCCCCAGUAGCGGCGAGCGAACGGGGAGGAGCCCAGAGCCUGAAUCAGUGUGUGUGUUAGUGGAAGCGUCUGGAAAGGCGUGCGAUACAGGGUGACAGCCCCGUACACAAAAAUGCACAUAUUGUGAGCUCGAUGAGUAGGGCGGGACACGUGGUAUCCUGUCUGAAUAUGGGGGGACCAUCCUCCAAGGCUAAAUACUCCUGACUGACCGAUAGUGAACCAGUACCGUGAGGGAAAGGCGAAAAGAACCCCGGCGAGGGGAGUGAAAAAGAACCUGAAACCGUGUACGUACAAGCAGUGGGAGCCUCUUUAUGGGGUGACUGCGUACCUUUUGUAUAAUGGGUCAGCGACUUAUAUUCUGUAGCAAGGUUAACCGAAUAGGGGAGCCGAAGGGAAACCGAGUCUUAACUGGGCGUUAAGUUGCAGGGUAUAGACCCGAAACCCGGUGAUCUAGCCAUGGGCAGGUUGAAGGUUGGGUAACACUAACUGGAGGACCGAACCGACUAAUGUUGAAAAAUUAGCGGAUGACUUGUGGCUGGGGGUGAAAGGCCAAUCAAACCGGGAGAUAGCUGGUUCUCCCCGAAAGCUAUUUAGGUAGCGCCUCGUGAAUUCAUCUCCGGGGGUAGAGCACUGUUUCGGCAAGGGGGUCAUCCCGACUUACCAACCCGAUGCAAACUGCGAAUACCGGAGAAUGUUAUCACGGGAGACACACGGCGGGUGCUAACGUCCGUCGUGAAGAGGGAAACAACCCAGACCGCCAGCUAAGGUCCCAAAGUCAUGGUUAAGUGGGAAACGAUGUGGGAAGGCCCAGACAGCCAGGAUGUUGGCUUAGAAGCAGCCAUCAUUUAAAGAAAGCGUAAUAGCUCACUGGUCGAGUCGGCCUGCGCGGAAGAUGUAACGGGGCUAAACCAUGCACCGAAGCUGCGGCAGCGACACUAUGUGUUGUUGGGUAGGGGAGCGUUCUGUAAGCCUGUGAAGGUGGCCUGUGAGGGUUGCUGGAGGUAUCAGAAGUGCGAAUGCUGACAUAAGUAACGAUAAAGCGGGUGAAAAGCCCGCUCGCCGGAAGACCAAGGGUUCCUGUCCAACGUUAAUCGGGGCAGGGUGAGUCGACCCCUAAGGCGAGGCCGAAAGGCGUAGUCGAUGGGAAACAGGUUAAUAUUCCUGUACUUGGUGUUACUGCGAAGGGGGGACGGAGAAGGCUAUGUUGGCCGGGCGACGGUUGUCCCGGUUUAAGCGUGUAGGCUGGUUUUCCAGGCAAAUCCGGAAAACCAAGGCUGAGGCGUGAUGACGAGGCACUACGGUGCUGAAGCGACAAAUGCCCUGCUUCCAGGAAAAGCCUCUAAGCAUCAGGUAACAUCAAAUCGUACCCCAAACCGACACAGGUGGUCAGGUAGAGAAUACCAAGGCGCUUGAGAGAACUCGGGUGAAGGAACUAGGCAAAAUGGUGCCGUAACUUCGGGAGAAGGCACGCUGAUAUGUAGGUGAAGCGACUUGCUCGUGGAGCUGAAAUCAGUCGAAGAUACCAGCUGGCUGCAACUGUUUAUUAAAAACACAGCACUGUGCAAACACGAAAGUGGACGUAUACGGUGUGACGCCUGCCCGGUGCCGGAAGGUUAAUUGAUGGGGUUAGCGGUAACGCGAAGCUCUUGAUCGAAGCCCCGGUAAACGGCGGCCGUAACUAUAACGGUCCUAAGGUAGCGAAAUUCCUUGUCGGGUAAGUUCCGACCUGCACGAAUGGCGUAAUGAUGGCCAGGCUGUCUCCACCCGAGACUCAGUGAAAUUGAACUCGCUGUGAAGAUGCAGUGUACCCGCGGCAAGACGGAAAGACCCCGUGAACCUUUACUAUAGCUUGACACUGAACAUUGAGCCUUGAUGUGUAGGAUAGGUGGGAGGCUUUGAAGUGUGGACGCCAGUCUGCAUGGAGCCGACCUUGAAAUACCACCCUUUAAUGUUUGAUGUUCUAACGUUGGCCCGUAAUCCGGGUUGCGGACAGUGUCUGGUGGGUAGUUUGACUGGGGCGGUCUCCUCCUAAAGAGUAACGGAGGAGCACGAAGGUUGGCUAAUCCUGGUCGGACAUCAGGAGGUUAGUGCAAUGGCAUAAGCCAGCUUGACUGCGAGCGUGACGGCGCGAGCAGGUGCGAAAGCAGGUCAUAGUGAUCCGGUGGUUCUGAAUGGAAGGGCCAUCGCUCAACGGAUAAAAGGUACUCCGGGGAUAACAGGCUGAUACCGCCCAAGAGUUCAUAUCGACGGCGGUGUUUGGCACCUCGAUGUCGGCUCAUCACAUCCUGGGGCUGAAGUAGGUCCCAAGGGUAUGGCUGUUCGCCAUUUAAAGUGGUACGCGAGCUGGGUUUAGAACGUCGUGAGACAGUUCGGUCCCUAUCUGCCGUGGGCGCUGGAGAACUGAGGGGGGCUGCUCCUAGUACGAGAGGACCGGAGUGGACGCAUCACUGGUGUUCGGGUUGUCAUGCCAAUGGCACUGCCCGGUAGCUAAAUGCGGAAGAGAUAAGUGCUGAAAGCAUCUAAGCACGAAACUUGCCCCGAGAUGAGUUCUCCCUGACUCCUUGAGAGUCCUGAAGGAACGUUGAAGACGACGACGUUGAUAGGCCGGGUGUGUAAGCGCAGCGAUGCGUUGAGCUAACCGGUACUAAUGAACCGUGAGGCUUAACCUUACAACGCCGAAG